GGGCCGCUAGCUCAAUUGGUAGAGCAGCAGACUCUUAAUCUGUCGGUUCGGGGUUCGAGUCCCUGGCGGCCCACCA
rnacentral:tRNA from 1 species